AUCAUCGAAUACAUCCUCAAUAUAAUAGGAAAGUGGUUGAAGAAGAAGCACAAAAGAGCGCUGCAUGAGUCACUUGAAAAGAUCAAAUCAGAACUUAUGUUAUUGGGGUUCAUAUCGCUGCUUCUUACGGUAGGACAAAGUGUAAUAUCGAGGAUAUGUAUAUCGGAAAAGGUCGCCGGAACAUUCCACCCCUGCACUCACCAAAGCGACCACAAAA
rnacentral:sRNA from 1 species